AAUUCUGACCGCGGAUAAAAUAAGAUCGUCAAAUAAGAAGUAAAAAAGGUUUUGUUUAAUAUUUAAAAUUUUUUCAAAAAUUGAAUGAAUAGGCUUUAUUAAAGUCUUAGGAAUGGAAGACGUGACGAAUUCUCUCAACAAGUGAAAGAUAUGUGUCAUAAAAUCAUAAAAUUAAAAAACGUAUGAUUGGAAAGUGAGGUGGCUGGUUUGCUGGGCGAGUAUUCGCGCGUAUAAAUGUCCAUUUUAACUGUUACUAAUGUAUCAAUGGUCAGUACAUCGUUUCGAAUAGCCCAAGUUACAAGACGGUCUUCGGAACAAAGCGUUAUAUGAGGGCACCGAUGUGGAAAGGGAAUUAGAAUUAAAAUCCGCGUAACUUUUACUCUUAUACCCGAUUACGAUUAUUGUUCCUCUACAAAAUACAAAGAGUUUCUCUGGGCUGGAGAAGUAUUUGAAAGCUCAAGAUAUAAAGAGCAAACGAUUGUUUUCACUAACAUUUCUUGUUGAUCAUUUUUAAAAUCGUUAUUAAAUUGGUUUUAUAAUGUCUUGCUACGCUUAUCUAUUAUAUGAAUAUCUUUUUUUAUAAACGAAGUGGCCGGCGUAGGAAAACCAUUACAUUUCCUUCAACCGUAUAGCUUGCAACCAAAAAGUAUGGUGUGCAACCAAAAAAGUAUAGCUUGCAACCAAAAGUAUAGUGUGCACCCAAAAAAAGUAUAGCUUGCAACCAAAAGUACAGUGUGCAACCAAAAAAAAAUGUUUGAUGAGAGAAAGAAAAACACACAGAAGAGAGAUAGACAAGGAAAGUGAACGAGAGAGAAUUAAAAAUUCUAAACAAAACAUACAAAGCACAAAACACAAAACAGCAACGCAUACACAAACAAUUAAAUAAAGCCAAUUGCACAAAAAUCCAAUUGCAGAGACGCCAUUUUGAAAAACGUCACGCACUGAAUAAACAAAAGAGGAAUUAUAAAUUAAAAAAACUUUUAAGCGAAAGAAGAGACCAAUAUUUUGUUGCAAACCGAGUUGUUCAAAGGUGUAAUGUUAGCUAAGCAGCAGAAGAAGCAACAAAAAUUCUUAGGCAAAGCUGAAAAUAGAAACGCAGUCAAAAAGAGAAUAUUUGUACUUGUACAUCCCUCGAUAAUGUUUAGAAACUUCAAUUGCGAAUUGAUGGAAACAGUUAAGGCAAUGCAAAUCAUAAUAAAUAUAUCAAUAGCGCCAUAUAGAGUUUUAGCAGGCAACAGAAUACGCCCAUUUGUUUGUUAAUCUAGGUACCUGUCUUCAUAUGCUGUGAGUAGCCGGUGACUCCAGCCUAUGCCUUUGCAAAAUGUGCAAUGUUCCCUACUGUGGAUUGUUUAAAAUUAGCAACAACUAUUAGCGAGCUAUUCCCGUUUUUUUUGACUUUUAUAUGGAGUUUGUAAGUUUGACGAGAUGGAUUCGGUUGCCUGAAUUGCAAGAUGAAGGUUUGACUUGGAGGAAAUGUUAAAUUCACCGUCCAUUGCAGAAGAGACUUCAACUAGCACUGAAAACGUGACAUUUAAUUUGAAAGGUCUUAGUGAUCUUAGGUUUAAGAAUGGCAAAUGAGCUUGGCGAUUUCUUUAUGAUCAUUGAUUCCUCUAUGGAACGAAGCCUUAUUUUUAAGAGGCAAAUUGCUAAUGCGACUGCUACGUAUGAGUCUGAAUUGAAGGAGCUUCUAAAAACUGCCAGGAGGUCUAAAACGUGAUUUGGGUAUCGACGAAUGGAACGAAUUAAAGACCAACGACAUGUUAACAACGAAACAAGUGAAGAAACCAAGGUUUUUAACCGAUACGUAAUGUAUGGAACAAUUUCAUGGUGUAGGAAAUCUUAACUCGAUUGGACAAAUGAUUUUGGAAAAGGAAGAAAAUUUAGAUCCUCAAGUUAUAAAAUCAAGUAUGGCCGAUGGCUGCGUGAAAAAACGGAAGCACAAUAAUAGCAUUGAAGUAAGUCUGCCACUCCGUCCAAUUGAAGUGGACGCAGCAAAUAAACAUAGUAUUCAUAACGGAAAUAGGAAAUUAACUUUAAAUAAUUAUGAGAGCGAAGACCAUACUAAAUUAUCAGCUAAUUUGCAUCCAUCCUAUAAUUUUAUUGUUGGGUCAGACAACGUUGCCGGCAAAUCACCGAUAUACCCAUCAUUAUCGACACAGUAUUUUAUGAUCGCGCGCCAACUACGAUCCAAAAAGAGUAGGUCGGGGUUGCCGUACAUUACAAGCAGACAACGAGACAUUGCGAGGUUAGUCAGUUUCCCGUUUUGGAUGAAACCUAAUGCAUGGCGCACCUUUGACGAACCCUUCUAUUUAUAAAAAUAUUAUUUGUUGACAUCAUUAGCACGGUCUUCUUCCAAUUCAAAUUUUUGAUGCAGCGACUAUCUUUUUCGCCAAUAGCAAUUUUUAAUUUGCCAUGCUCUACUUGGCCAAAGAAUUUUUCAUAAACUAUGAAAGAAACAAAAACACCUUCUUUUGGUAGGUCGGCAAAGGCGAUGAGUAGUAAACCGUUCAAAAAAAGAUUUAAUUUU